CCGGCAUCUUUCAUAUAGUACUCCUUGUUUUUGGUAUUUUAUCAGCGGUAAAAUGAGAAAACCUUUUAUUGGAAUGAUACCUGAUAAACCGGACUAUAGCGAACACAAUAAAAUUGGAAGAGGUUGUGUCGGUGGUGCAUUACUUAUUGAGGUAAUUGGCCUGGGUUUUUGGCCCUGUAUAUGGACAAAGGCGAAGACUGAUGAUGAUGAAUGAUUGCGAACGAGGCAAAUGUGAUUAUGCAUAUUUACGUGCACUACAU